rnacentral:rRNA from 1 species
CACGUAGGGCGCAAGCGUUGUCCGGAAUUAUUGGGCGUAAAGAGCUCGUAGGCGGUCUGUUACGUCCGCUGUGAAAACCCAGGGCUUAACCCUGGGCUUGCAGUGGAUACGGGCAGACUAGAGGCAGGUAGGGGAGAAUGGAAUUCCCGGUGUAGCGGUGAAAUGCGCAGAUAUCGGGAGGAACACCGGUGGCGAAGGCGGUUCUCUGGGCCUGACCUGACGCUGAGGAGCGAAAGCGUGGGGAGCGAACAGG